rnacentral:rRNA from 1 species
UACGAAGGGGGCUAGCGUUGCUCGGAAUCACUGGGCGUAAAGGGUGCGUAGGCGGGUCUUUAAGUCAGGGGUGAAAUCCUGGAGCUCAACUCCAGAACUGCCUUUGAUACUGAGAAGCUCGAGUCCGGGAGAGGUGAGUGGAACUGCGAGUGUAGAGGUGAAAUUCGUAGAUAUUCGCAAGAACACCAGUGGCGAAGGCGGCUCACUGGCCCGGUACUGACGCUGAGGUGCGAAAGCGUGGGGAGCAAACAGG